GACGAACGCUGGCGGCGUGCUUAACACAUGCAAGUCGAACGAUGAAGCUGGAGCUUGCUCCGGUGGAUUAGUGGCGAACGGGUGAGCAACACGUGAGUAAUCUGCCCUUGACUCUGGGAUAACUGCGGGAAACUGUAGCUAAUACCGGAUACGACACCUUCGGGCAUCCGAUGGGUGUGGAAAGAAUUUCGGUCAAGGAGGAACUCGCGGCCUAUCAGCUAGUUGGUGAGGUAAUGGCUCACCAAGGCGACGACGGGUAGCCGGCCUGAGAGGGUGACCGGCCACACUGGGACUGAGACACGGCCCAGACUCCUACGGGAGGCAGCAGUGGGGAAUACUGCACAAUGGGCGAAAGCCUGAUGCAGCAACGCCGCGUGAGGGAUGAAGGCCUUCGGGUUGUAAACCUCUUUUAGUUGGGAAGAAGCGAAAGUGACGGUACCAACAGAAAAAGCACCGGCUAACUACGUGCCAGCCGCCGCCGUAA
rnacentral:rRNA from 1 species